GACGAACGCUGGCGGCGUGCUUAACACAUGCAAGUCGAACGGAAAGACCCUGCUUUUGUGGGGUGCUCGAGUGGCGAACGGGUGAGUAACACGUGAGUAACCUGCCCUUGACUUUGGGAUAACUUCAGGAAACUGGGGCUAAUACCGGAUAGGAGCUCCUGCUGCAUGGUGGGGGUUGGAAAGUUUCGGCGGUUGGGGAUGGACUCGCGGCUUAUCAGCUUGUUGGUGGGGUAGUGGCUUACCAGGGCUUUGACGGGUAGCCGGCCUGAGAGGGUGACCGGCCACAUUGGGACUGAGAUACGGCCCAGACUCCUACGGGAGGCAGCAGUGGGGAAUAUUGCACAAUGGGCGGAAGCCUGAUGCAGCAACGCCGCGUGCGGGAUGACGGCCUUCGGGUUGUAAACCGCUUUCGCCUGUGACGAAGCGUGAGUGACGGUAAUGGGUAAAGAAGCACCGGCUAACUACGUG
rnacentral:rRNA from 1 species